rnacentral:rRNA from 1 species
CCUACGGGCGGCAGCAGUGGGGAAUAUUGGACAAUGGGCGAAAGCCUGAUCCAGCCAUGCCGCGUGUGUGAAGAAGGCCUUCGGGUUGUAAAGCACUUUCAGUGGGGAAGAAAGCCUUGGGGCUAAUACCCUCGAGGAAGGACAUCACCCACAGAAGAAGCACCGGCUAACUCCGUGCCAGCAGCCGCGGUAAUACGGAGGGUGCGAGCGUUAAUCGGAAUUACUGGGCGUAGAGCGCGCGUAGGCGGUCUGAUAAGCCGGUUGUGAAAGCCCCGGGCUCAACCUGGGAACGGCAUCCGGAACUGUCAGGCUAGAGUGCAGGAGAGGAAGGUAGAAUUCCCGGUGUAGCGGUGAAAUGCGUAGAGAUCGGGAGGAAUACCAGUGGCGAAGGCGGCCUUCUGGACUGACACUGACGCUGAGGUGCGAAAGCGUGGGUAGCAAACAGGAUUAGAUACCCUAGUAGUC